CAUCUGAACAGUGUUGCUGAAAGACUUACACUUUAAGACGAUGACUGCAGUCUGGUAGCUGAGCGGGUUGGACAUCUGUUACUGGUCUCCGAAGCUUCAGCAACAUGAUGUCAUGC